UACGUAGGUGGCAAGCGUUUGUCCGGAAUUAUUGGGCGUAAAGCGCGCGCAGGCGGUCCUUUAAGUCUGAUGUGAAAGCCCUCGGCUCAACCGAGGAGGGUCAUUGGAAACUGGAGGACUUGAGUGCAGAAGAGGAAAGUGGAAUUCCAAGUGUAGCGGUGAAAUGCGUAGAGAUUUGGAGGAACACCAGUGGCGAAGGCGACUUUCUGGUCUGUAACUGACGCUGAGGCGCGAAAGCGUGGGGAGCAAACAGG
rnacentral:rRNA from 1 species